GUAUAGUAAAAUAACUCAAAAGUGCUCAAGAAGACGUUACGAAGGCACACUUGCAUCUUAUUACUUAAGAGAUCUCCGCAUGUUGGGAAUUGAAUGUUGCAAUACGUAAUCGACAAAAGGGGCAAAUGAUUUUUACGUUGACACCCCGCGACGUCAUGAGGGGAUGAAGAACAAGCGGCACCGCGCCGUCUAAGUCCCAAAGGACAGCAUGAGGACAACGAGAGAGACGGCGAAGGUAGAGCUCGUGCAGGGUCGGCGAAGAGGCGCUUCGAGCAGAAGGAAAAGAGCGAAAGAAGAGAGGCAGGAAGAACGGUCGAGAAGACGACGCGGGGACGACGACGACGGCGGCGACGGCAGAAAAGGGGACCGAAGGGAAGGUGCGAGAGGGGCAGAGAUGCGGAGGAGUGUUACAAUAGCUUGCAGAUUGGAGAGGCAGACGUACAGUCCCUGACCUAGCCGCCGUACAGUCCGCCCAGAAGGUUACGGGACGGGGAUGCCACGUGAAAUGAUGCGUCGCGCUUAUCUCUCUCUCCCUCUCUUUCUCUCUUUCUCUCCUCCGUCUCUCUCCCUCUCUGUCUCUCUCUUUCUCUCUCAUCUGUCCUACUCGCACUCCCCGCCUGAUCAAACCACCAUAUUACUACUUGUACAAAUAUAUCCCGCCCGCAAGAGCAGACGGGAAUCUGUCCCCGGUGGUUCUCAACCUGGUUGAUUGAAGUCACCGGCCGGCUGCCAGUUGGCCUCUGCGGAUGAAUCAUCCGUCGUCGUACUUCUGAGAAGAUUCCGGGGAUCAAACUGAUAGCUUUGGUCUCGGGUGCGACAUGGGCUUUAUGCGGAAUGAUCUACUACGGUCAAACGGUAGUUAGAACACGUCGGCUUACAGACCGUAUAUAUCCAUCCAACGGGAUUUUCACGUCACAAUCCUAGCGCGACAACGUUAAUACAACCACUUUCUCGAUACACAAAGAAAUUGAUAUUUAGAGAUCAAAAGACAUCUCUUAACGUAUAUGUAUGAUACUUUCGUAACUUAGCAGAAAUAAAAAAAUGUUGUUUUCACUGCAAAAAA